rnacentral:rRNA from 1 species
CCGGCGCACGGGUGAGUAUCGCGUUUGUAACCUACCUUUAACUGGAGCAUAGCCCGAAGAAAUUCGGAUUAAUACUCCAUAAUACUAUGAACUGGCAUCUUUUUAUAGUUAAAGCUCCGGCGGUUAAAGAUGGACAUGCGUAACAUUAGUUUGUUGGUGAGGUAACGGCUCACCAAGACUACGAUGUUUAGGGGGUCUGAGAGGAUGAUCCCCCACACUGGUACUGAGACACGGACCAGACUCCUACGGGAGGCAGCAGUGAGGAAUAUUGGUCAAUGGGCGCAAGCCUGAACCAGCCAUGCCGCGUGAAGGAUGACGGCGCUACGCGUUGUAAACUUCUUUUGUACAGGAAGAAACGCUUCUACGUGUAGAAGUUUGACGGUACUGUGCGAAUAAGCAUCGGCUAACUCCGUGCCAGCAGCCGCGGUAAUACGGAGGAUGCAAGCGUUAUCCGGAUUUAUUGGGUUUAAAGGGUACGUAGGCGGAGAACUAAGUCAGUAGUGAAAUCCCGCAGCUUAACUGUGGAACUGUUAUUGAUACUGGUUUUCUUGAAUGUAGUUGAAGUAGGC